GAAAGCUUUCGGGUGAGUACUAGUGGCGCACGGGUGAGUAACGCGUGGAUAAUCUGCCUUUGAGUGGGGGAUAACUAGUCGAAAGAUUAGCUAAUACCGCAUAAGACCACAGGAACUGAGGUUCUAGGGGUUAAAGGUUUUUCGCUCAUAGAUGAGUCCGCGUGAGAUUAGCUAGUUGGUAAGGUAACGGCUCACCAAGGCGACGAUCUCUAACUGGUCUGAGAGGAUGAUCAGUCACACUGGAACUGAGACACGGUCCAGACUCCUACGGGAGGCAGCAGUAGGGAAUAUUGCACAAUGGAGGCAACUCUGAUGCAGCGACGCCGCGUGAGUGAUGAAGGCCUUCGGG
rnacentral:rRNA from 1 species